CAGGGGGAAGUGGCGAACGGGUGAGUAACACGUGGGUAAUCUGCCCUCGGAUGGGGGAUAGCACUAGGAAACUAGUGGUAAUACCGCAUAUUAUCACACUUCUAUAAGGUCGUGUGAUGAAAGGUGCCCUCUGCAUAUGGUACCGUCUGAGGAUGAGCCCGCGGGCUAUUAGCUUGUUGGUAGGGUAAGAGCCUACCAAGGCAACGAUGGCUAGCCGGCCUGAGAGGGUGUACGGCCACAUUGGGAUUGAGAUACGGCCCAGACUCCUACGGGAGGCAGCAGCUAAGAAUAUUCCGCAAUGGGCGAAAGCCUGACGGAGCGAUGCCGCGUGGACGAUGAAGGCCUUCGGGUUGUAAAGUCCUUUUCCUGGGGAAGAAUAAAGUCGAGAGUAACUGCUUGACCGAUGACGGUACCCAGGGAAUAUGCUCCGGCUAAUUACGUGCCAGCAGCCGCGGUAAUACGUAUGGAGCUAGCGUUGUUCGGAUUUACUGGCCGUAAAGGGCUUGUAGGUGGCAAGACAAGUCGGAUGUGAAAUCUCCGGGCUUAACCUGGAAAUUGCAUUCGAAACUGUCUCGCUAGAGUGUCGGAGAGGGAAAUGGAAUUCCUGGUGUAGGGGUGAAAUCUGUAGAUAUCAGGAAGAACACCGGUGGCGAAGGCGGUUUCCUGGCCGACUACUGACACUGAGGAGCGAAAGCUAGGGGAGCAAACAGGAUUAGAUACCCUGGUAGUCCUAG
rnacentral:rRNA from 1 species